rnacentral:tRNA from 1 species
UAGCUCAGUUGGUUGAGUGCAAGGCUUUUAACCUUGAGGUUGUGGGUUCAAGCCCCCAU